UGGCGAACGGGUGAGUAACACGUGGGCAACCUGCCCAAAAGAGGGGGAUAACACUUGAAAACAGGUGCUAAUACCGCAUAACCAUAGUUACCGCAUGGUAACUAUGUAAAAGGUGGCUAUGCUACCGCUUUUGGAUGGGCCCGCGGCGCAUUAGCUAGUUAGUGGGGUAAAGGCUUACCAAGGCAAUGAUGCGUAGCCGAACUGAGAGGUUGAUCGGCCACAUUGGGACUGAGACACGGCCCAAACUCCUACGGAAGGCAGCAG
rnacentral:rRNA from 1 species